rnacentral:rRNA from 1 species
UACGAAGGGGACUAGCGUUGUUCGGAAUUACUGGGCGUAAAGCGCACGUAGGCGGCUUUGUAAGUUAGAGGUGAAAGCCCGGGGCUCAACCCCGGAAUUGCCUUUAAGACUGCAUCGCUUGAAUCCGGGAGAGGUGAGUGGAAUUCCGAGUGUAGAGGUGAAAUUCGUAGAUAUUCGGAAGAACACCAGUGGCGAAGGCGGCUCACUGGACCGGUAUUGACGCUGAGGUGCGAAAGCGUGGGGAGCAAACAGG